rnacentral:rRNA from 1 species
AGCAGUCGCCGCGGUAAUACGAAGGGGGCUAGCGUUGUUCGGAAUUACUGGGCGUAGAGCGCACGUAGGCGGAUAUUUAAGUCAGGGGUGAAAUCCCAGAGCUCAACUCUGGAACUGCCUUUGAUACUGGGUAUCUUGAGUAUGGAAGAGGUGAGUGGAAUUCCGAGUGUAGAGGUGAAAUUCGUAGAUAUUCGGAGGAACACCAGUGGCGAAGGCGGCACACUGGUCCAUUACUGACGCUGAGGUGCGAAAGCGUGGGGAGCAAACAGGAUUAGAUACCCCAGUAGUCCCUGUCUCUUAUAC